GAUGAACGCUGGCGGCGUGCUUAACACAUGCAAGUCGAACGGAAAGGCUCCUGCUUGCAGGGGUACUCGAGUGGCGAACGGGUGAGUAACACGUGGGUGAUCUGCCCUGCACUUCGGGAUAAGCCUGGGAAACUGGGUCUAAUACCGGAUAGGACGAUGGUUUGGAUGCCAUUGUGGAAAGUUUUUCGGUGUGGGAUGAGCUCGCGGCCUAUCAGCUUGUUGGUGGGGUAAUGGCCUACCAAGGCGUCGACGGGUAGCCGGCCUGAUAGGGUGUACGGCCACAUUGGGACUGAGAUACGGCCCAGACUCCUACGGGAGGCAGCAGUGGGGAAUAUUGCACAAUGGGCGCAAGCCUGAUGCAGCGACGCCGCGUGGGGGAUGACGGCCUUCGGGUUGUAAACUCCUUUCGCUAGGGACGAAGCGCAAGUGACGGUACCUGGAGAAGAAGCACCGGCUAACUACGUG
rnacentral:rRNA from 1 species